UACGUAGGGGGCAAGCGUUAUCCGGAAUUACUGGGUGUAAAGGGAGCGUAGACGGUAAUGUAAGUCUGGAGUGAAAGGCCGGGGCCCAACCCCGGGACUGCUCUGGAAACUAUGUUACUGGAGUGCAGGAGAGGUAAGCGGAAUUCCUAGUGUAGCGGUGAAAUGCGUAGAUAUUAGGAGGAACACCAGUGGCGAAGGCGGCUUACUGGACUGUAACUGACGUUGAGGCUCGAAAGCGUG
rnacentral:rRNA from 1 species